GAUUUAUUUCCCUUAUUAAUAUAAAAAAGCAAAGGGGGGCUACUUUGAGGAAUCUAAAAUAUAAGACAUGUUUUCAGUUAUUUCACACUUUUUAGUUA